GGUCCAGCCUGCCCGGUGACAUAGUUUAACGGCCGCGGUACCCUAACCGUGCGAAGGUAGCAUAAUCACUUGUUCUUUAAAUGGGGACUCGUAUCAACGGCAUCACGAGGAUCACACUGUCUCCCGCCCCUAAUCAGUGAAACUGAUCUCCCCGUGAAGAAGCGGGGAUUUUUUUAUAAGACGAGAAGACCCCAUGGAGCUUUAAACCCGAUGACACCCCCGCCCUAUUUAGACCUACGCAUUCGUUGGGGGCCUGUUCACUCGGUUUUAGGUUGGGGUGACCGCGGAGUAAAACAAAACCUCCACGAAGAAUGGGCUUACCCCCUUAUCCAAGAGAGACAUCUCUAAGAAUUAGCAAACUAACAUCUAAUGAUCCGAUUUUUCGAUCAACGAACCAAGUUACCCUGGGGAUAACAGCGCAAUCCACUUCAAGAGCUCAUAUCGACAAGUGGGUUUACGACCUCGAUGUUGGAUCAGGGUAUCCCAGUGGUGCAGCAGCUACUAAUGGUUCGUUUGUUCAACGAUUAAAACCCUACGUGAUCUGAGU
rnacentral:rRNA from 1 species